AUGAACAGAUCUGGUUUGUUGAUGUGUUUAGGGGGUUGUAUCGAAGCAGAAGUGUUAUCAUAUUGCAUAAGAAUAUCUAUAACAGAAGCUUUUGGUGGAUUUACCAAACUCCAAUAUUUGAGUUUAGCAGGACAAACUAAUAUAGACGUGGAUAGGAGAGGGCUGUCACAGGUCAUUGGUAACCUAACCAAACUUAGGUAUCUAAAUCUGUCAGGGUGCAUGGACAGUAUGGUCACAUCAGAUCAAAUUGAUAGCUUGCUCGACUCUAUCAGUACUCUUUCCAAUCUAGAGCAUCUGGUCUUGUCUGAGAAUUCAAAGAUUUGCAGUAUACCAGAAAGUAUUGGCAACCUAAGGAAGCUUCAUACAUUGGACCUCUCGGGCUGCUAUGACCUGAAGACGCUUCCCGAUAGUAUGGAUCAGAUGGUUAGUCUUAAGGUUCUAAAUUUGGAACGGGUUACAUUGGAUGAAUUGGUGGUAUCUCGGUUCAACUGUGCCUCUUCGCCACACUUUGAGGUACAUGCUUCAGGUGAUAAAUGUAGCAGCAAUAUCAUCCUGCUUCGGCCCACAAAUCCUGUUGAGCUGUGGGUAGAUAGACUUGAAAAUGUGAAGUCUGCAGAAGAGGCACACGAUAUAAACCUGAUAGAGAAACAAAAAAUUGAAGAGCUAACACUUACAUGGACUGUAGCUGUUGGCAGGUUUGUGGAUGCCAAGGAGGUGUUGGAAAAACUAGUGCCACCAAGCAGUGUACUGAAAUUGUAUGUAGUUGGUUAUAGGAGUGUCAGCUUACCUGAUUGGCUUAUGGGUAUCUGGAAGCAUCUCCCUAAUCUUGUGGAGAUACAUCUACGUGAUUUUCCUAGUGUAAUAACCUACCACUACUUGGUCAACUACCAAACUUAG
rnacentral:rRNA from 1 species